ACGCGGUUAUACAAUAUAUGUAAAUAAAUAUUAUUAGUAAAAGUUAAUUAAUAUAUUUAUUUAAUAAUUAAAAUUAAUUUUAUUAAGUGAAAUUUUAAAAUUAUAUUAUUUAUUUUUAUUAGAAAAAUGAAGCUAAUAAAUUUUUAUUAUAAACUAGGAUUAGAUACCCUAUUAUUAAAAUUUUAAUUUAUUUUACUUAAGUAGUAAUAGUUAUAUUCUUGAAACUUAAAGAAUUUGGCGGUAUUUUAGUCUAUUCAGAGGAACUUGUCCUAUAAUCGAUAAUCCACGAUGUACCUUACUUAAAUUAAUUUUGUUUGUAUACCGCCGUUAUCAGAAUAUUUUAUUAGAAUAAUAAUUUUCUAAAAUUUUCAUUAAAAAUUAUAUCAGGUCAAGGUGCAGCUUAUAUUUAAGUAGAGAUGAGUUACAAUAAAUAUAUUUAAAUGGAAUUAAAAUUGAAAUAUUUUAAUAAAAGUGGAUUUGAUAGUAAAAUUAUAUAGAUUAAUAAUUUGAUUAUAGCUCUAAAAUAUGCACAUAUCGCCCGUCACUCUUGUUAAUAAAUAAAAUAAGAUAAGUCGUAACAUAGUAGAUGUACUGGAAAGUGUCUCUAGAAUAA
rnacentral:rRNA from 1 species